AUGAGGCUCCUUGCUCAGCUUCUGGGGCUGCUGGUGCUCUGGGUCCCUGGAUCCAAUGGGGAGAUUGUGAUGACCCAGACUCCACUGUCCCUGCCGGUCACCCCUGGAGAGCCGGCCUCCAUCUCCUGCAGGUCUAGCCAGAGCCUCCUGCAUAGCAAUGGAAAGACCUAUUUGCAUUGGUACCUGCAGAAGCCAGGCCAGUCUCCACAGCUCCUGAUCUAUUUGGUUUCCACCCUGUUCUCUGGGGUCCCAGACAGGUUCAGUGGCAGUGGGUCAGGGACAGAUUUUACAUUGAAAAUCAGCAGAGUGGAGGCUGAGGAUGUUGGAGUUUAUUAUUGCAUGCAAGAUCUACAAACUCCUCCCACAGUGGUGCAGCCCCUAACACAAACCUCCCUGCUGUUGAGGCCCAGCUGCCCACAAGGGCUGCUUCUCUGGGGAGCAUCUCAGCAGGUCCUCUGAGUCUGCAGAAGAGGAGGCUGGUGGAGAAUCAGGGAGAGUUUGCAGCUGAGGACUCUGGCCCUUGAGAGCCUCAGCUGCUCCUCAGGUCCCUCAUGUUAAGGCCCAUCAGCUGCGCAGCCUAGGCACGGCCUGAGCAGCAGGAGAAUUCGGAUGGUCCAAGUGCCCUGUGAGCAACCAGCUAUGAUGAAAGAGAGAGCAAAUCAAAGCUCAUCCUCAGCCUGUCUUGCCUGUAUUUGACAACCAGACAAUGGAUGCAGAUUAGUGGCCACACAGGUUGAAUACAUAGUGGAAAUUACCAGUUGAGUUUUUUUUAACAAGAUAAAUCUUGAUAACAUUGGGAAAUUUGUAUUUUCCCAUUUUCCCCCUGCUACUCCUCCACCAUGCACAGGAAACUGUCCUUUCCACUAUCAUGUUUGAGAAAGUAUCUACACAAGCUGUCCUCAG